rnacentral:rRNA from 1 species
CUUAAAUUGAAGAGUUUGAUCAUGGCUCAGAUUGAACGCUGGCGGCAGGCCUAACACAUGCAAGUCGAGCGGAAACGACACUAACAAUCCUUCGGGUGCGUUAAUGGGCGUCGAGCGGCGGACGGGUGAGUA